GACAGAGGGGGCAAGCGUUGCUCGGAAUCACUGGGCGUAAAGGGCGCGUAGGCGGGAUGGCAAGUCGGUCGUGAAAUCCUUCGGCUCAACCGAAGAACGUCGGCCGAUACUGCCGUUCUUGAGGGAUGCAGAGGAGAUUGGAAUUCCCGGUGUAGCGGUGAAAUGCGUAGAUAUCUGGAGGAACACCGGUGGCGAAGGCGGCAUCCUGGACCGAGAUUGACGCUGAGGCGCGAAAGCCAGGG
rnacentral:rRNA from 1 species